GACGAACGCUGGCGGCGUGCCUAAUACAUGCAAGUAGAACGCUGAAGGAGGAGCUUGCUUCUCUGGAUGAGUUGCGAACGGGUGAGUAACGCGUAGGUAACCUGCCUGGUAGCGGGGGAUAACUAUUGGAAACGAUAGCUAAUACCGCAUAAUAGUAGAUGUUGCAUGACAUUUGCUUAAAAGGUGCACUUGCAUCACUACCAGAUGGACCUGCGUUGUAUUAGCUAGUUGGUGGGGUAACGGCUCACCAAGGCGACGAUACAUAGCCGACCUGAGAGGGUGAUCGGCCACACUGGGACUGAGACACGGCCCAGACUCCUACGGGAGGCAGCAGUAGGGAAUCUUCGGCAAUGGACGGAAGUCUGACCGAGCAACGCCGCGUGAGUGAAGAAGGGUUUCGGAUCGUAAAGCUCUGUUGUAAGAGAAGAACGAGUGUGAGAGUGGAAAGUUCACACUGUGACGGUAUCUUACCAGAAAGGGACGGCUAACUACGUG
rnacentral:rRNA from 1 species